rnacentral:tRNA from 1 species
GGUAAUAUGACCGAGAUCUAGGUAAUAAAUUGUAAAUUUAUUAACGAAAUGAAAAUUUCUUUUACCA